AUACGUAGGGUGCAAGCGUUAAUCGGAAUUACUGGGCGUAAAGCGUGCGCAGGCGGUUUUGUAAGGCCGAGGUGAAAUCCCCGGGCUCAACCUGGGAACUGCCUUUGAGACUGCAAGGCUAGAGUACGGCAGAGGGGGAUGGAAUUCCGCAUGUAGAAGUGAAAGGCGUAGAUAUGCGGAGGAACACCGAUGGCGAAGGCAAUCCACUGGGACUGUACUUACGCUCACGCACGAAGACGUUGGGAGCAAACAGGGUUUGAUCGCCUGGUAGUCGACGCCCUAACCGAUGUCUACUAGUUGUUGGUUCUUCAUUGACUCAGUUACGUAGCUAACGCGUGAAGUUUACCGCCUGGGGAGUACGGCCGCAAGGUUGAAACUCAAAUGAAUUGACGGGG
rnacentral:rRNA from 1 species